rnacentral:lncRNA from 1 species
UGGCCCCUGGGAUUUGCUGCUCAGAACCUGAGUUCACUGAGACAUCAGGAGCAAGCACUGGAGGCCGGGUGCUGCUGGACCCAGAUGGGAGCCAUGCAGGACUUGACCAUGGCCUGCACACACUUCUUCCCAGGAGAAGGGGAAUGAGGAAGAACUAGAUCCUAAGAGCAGAAGACAAUCAUAUGUCCUGAGAACCCAUUGGAGGUUGAACAGCGCUGGGUGGAUGGAGAAAGGCAGAAAUGCAGAAUUUCGUCAUUGCCUGGAUGCUGACUUUAUCCAAAGAGAAGAUGCAUGAGGAGUGUACAUGCCUCAGAACUGGAUGCUGAGACAUGCCCCCGCGAUCCCAAGACCACCAGGUACCGUGAGCAAUCACUGGAGCUGGAACACUGCUGCCUGAGGAAGAGAAGAAGUGCAGGCUUGUCAUUGUCUAUGCUGUUACUUGUGGUUCCCGGGUCUUCAGAGAGGAUGCACAAGAACGGGAGAACCGGCCCCUGGGAUUUGCUGCUCAGGACCCGAGUUCACUGAGACAUCAGGAGCAAGCACUGGAGGCCGGUGCUGCUGGAUCCAGAUGGGAGCCAUGCAGGACUUGACCAUGGCCUGCACACACUUCUUCCCAGGAGAAGGGGAAUGAGGAAGGCAGACUGGCAUCACAGGACCCUUCAGAGUAUUAAUGCAGACCUUCGUGACAGAGGUCCAGUACCAAGUGCUCAGCGGUGCUAAGGUCCAGGGACAGGAGGCAGAAGGGCGGGUUCCAGCCCGCUCAGCUGGCCAUGAACCGGCCCCUGGGAUUUGCUGCUCAGGACCCGAGUUCAGUGAGACAUCAGGAGCAAGCACUGGAGGCCGGUGCUGCUGGACCCAGAUGGGAGCCAUGCAGGACUUGACCAUGGCCUGCACACACUUCUUCCCAGGAGAAGGGGAAUGAGGAAGAACUGGACCAGAAGAUUUAACUUCCAUACCACAAGCACUGGGGUAGAAGACUGCUGCUGGGUGAAGAAGAGACUAGACUUGAUCAUUGAGCAGCCACUCACUGAUAUCUUCAGUGCUGCAUGAGGAAGGACUGGCCCCUGGGAUUUUCUGCUCAGGACCCGAGUUCACUGAGACAUCAGGAGCAAGCACUGGAGGCCGGUGCUGCUGGACCCAGAUGGGCGCCAUGCAGGACUUGACCAUGGCCUGCACACACUUCUUCCCAGGAGAAGGGGAAUGAGGAAAGUGGGGGGCCUCAAAGCUUCCUUUCCUUUCUGUUUGUCUUGCUAUGUUUUUAUAUUCCUUUUUAUCCAUUUAAUUAUUUAGUACAAAAUCAGGUCCAGUCUCCUUAGAUAUGGCAUUGAUAUAAAGUGUAAAAUGGAAGCUAAAUUCUAGGAGUACAGCAUUGCAUGCUUCUGACAGAGACAAGGAAGGCUAGAAUCACACAGUUAGUGGACACUGCAACUAUAUUGACAUUUUUUUUUUUUUAGACUGUGAAGGUGGGGACAGAUUGCUGCACUCAGAACACCUUCCCUGCUCUGGGGAAACAAACACUGUCAUCAUGGGGAAAAUGUUUCCUGUAGACCCACACAAGCACACACCCCUCCUCCUACAUCCAGCUUCUCCUCAGCCAUUUUGAAGCAGGGAAGAUCAGGGGGAUUCAUGAAUGGCGAAAUUUGGCCUUUUUUAGUGUAUUUCUCUCCUUCUGUAGGCAGACUGGCAUCACCUGACCCUUCAGAGUAUUAACUCAGACCCUGGUGACUGAGGUCCAGUACCAAGUGCUCAGCUGGGCUGCGGUGCAGGGACAGGAAGCAGAAGGGCAGAUUCAACCCCCCUCAGCUGGCCAUGCUAAUCUACUAGCUGGUGUCCUAGGGCAGCAAGGCGCCUCCCUCUCCAGGAUCUGAUGAGAAAACACUGCAGUUCCAGUUUCUUUCGGGGCUUGAAGAGAAGUCAAGGAAGCCCUGCAAGGCACUCACAGCUGAUCAUGCUUUCUGUAAUCGCCCUCCAUCUUCCUUCAUUGCUAGGAAUCAUUGGAAGGACAACAGCGGAGCUGUGAGUUUUGAAACCGCGUCCUCAUGGGGGCAGUAGAGGUCCACACAAGAGCUUAACUGGCCCCUGGGAUUUGCUGCUCAGAACCUGAGUUCACUGAGACAUCAGGAGCAAGUACUGGAGGCCGGUGCUGCUGGACCCAGAUGGGAGCCAUGCGGGACUUGACCAUGGCCUGCACACACUUCUUCCCAGGAGAAGGGGAGUGAGGAAGAACCGGCCCCUGGGAUUUGCUGCUCAGGACCCGAGUUCACUGAGACAUCAGGAGCAAGCACUGGAGGCCGGGUGCUGCUGGACCCAGAUGGGAGCCAUGCAGGACUUGACCAUGGCCUGCACACACUUCUUCCCAGGAGAAGGGGAAUGAGGAAGAAAGGCUCAUGGCGUCUAUGUCGUAAAUGAGCUGUGGAUUUGCUAUGCCCCUUCUCUUCAGCAACCCUUAUUUUUCUUGCCUGUACAUCUCUACUGUGGGAAUCACAGGGAAGCUGCUGCAGCACAACUUGAAAUAGAAAGCUGGAUGGUAUGAAUUUAGGACAAGAACAUGAGAAGAAGGGCUCCAGAGAGGAUUCAUUAAGAGCAUUUUCUGCUCUUCCAGAAGCAUCCGAGUUUGGUGUGGGCACCCAAGUCAUUAGGCUCAGAGCUGCUUGGGCCCUGGCCAUUAGGCUUCUGGAAAAGGAUUGGGCAUUACUUUUGUUCUACAACCUGAGGAGAGAACUGAACCCUACCUGGACAUCGGUGCAGAACUAGAGGGUGACAUGGACCAGCAGCAAUGAGGCUAUUGAAUACCAUAGGCUAUUGAAUACCUGUAGGUGCUUGUGUAUCCCGGCAGUGUGCCUGCCAAGGUCCAAGGACAAUCUAGAGGUGGUGUUUAUGUCCUUCAAAGAGGG